rnacentral:lncRNA from 1 species
CACGCAUCAUUAUUCCUUGAAUAAGCAAGUGGGAGGCGUUCGCCUCACUACCGCGCAUAUUCGAUUUCCACAAAUAAUUUUCAAUAAUAAUUUAAACGAAAAAGGGAGUAGAAGGCGUUCGCCUUAUUAUUCUUCGAAAGAAUUGAACGAUUGGUGUGCACCAUAUUGCUCAAUCUUUUUUCGUUCUUCUAAAAAAUAUCCAACACGUUAAACC